GAUGAACGCUGGCGGCGUGCCUAAUACAUGCAAGUCGAGCGAAUGGAUUGAGAGCUUGCUCUUAUGAAGUUAGCGGCGGACGGGUGAGUAACACGUGGGUAACCUGCCCAUAAGACUGGGAUAACUCCGGGAAACCGGGGCUAAUACCGGAUAACAUUUUGAACCGCAUGGUUCGAAAUUGAAAGGCGGCUUCGGCUGUCACUUAUGGAUGGACCCGCGUCGCAUUAGCUAGUUGGUGAGGUAACGGCUCACCAAGGCAACGAUGCGUAGCCGACCUGGGAGGGGGAUCGGCCACACUGGGACGGAGACACGGCCCAGACUCCUACGGGAGGCAGCAGUAGGGAAUCUUCCGCAAUGGACGAAAGUCGGACGGAGCAACGCCGCGUGAGUGAUGAAGGCUUUCGGGUCGUAAAACUCUGUUGUUAGGGAAGAACAAGUGCUAGUUGAAUAAGCUGGCACCUUGACGGUACCUAACCAGAAAGCCACGGCUAACUACGUGCCAGCCGCCGCCGUAA
rnacentral:rRNA from 1 species